GGGCCCGCACAAGCGGUGGAGUAUGUGGUUUAAUUCGAUGCAACGCGAAGAACCUUACCAGGGUUUGACAUCCUGCGAAUCUCUUGGAAACGAGAGAGUGCCUUCGGGAACGCAGUGACAGGUGGUGCAUGGCUGUCGUCAGCUCGUGUCGUGAGAUGUUGGGUUAAGUCCCGCAACGAGCGCAACCCACGUCUUUAGUUGCCAGCAUUUAGUUGGGCACUCUAGAGAGACUGCCGGUGAUAAACCGGAGGAAGGUGUGGAUGACGUCAAGUCAUCAUGCCCCUUACAUCCUGGGCUACACACGUACUACAAUGGCCGGUACAGAGGGUUGCGAGACCGCAAGGUUUAGCU
rnacentral:rRNA from 1 species